AUUUCUGACGUAACGAACCAGCGACAACUCGAGCUGACUUCCUGCUUUGAGGCUAGGAAGAGUGCUCGAUAGCCUUCCACAUAUUUUCCAAAAAUUACUCUGAGCUUUCAGACUCUGGUCCAAGCUGCUGUGCAGAUUAUAUUGAACUCAACAUGUACUACUCCUGCUCCACAAAGAUUCUAGAUUUUUCCAAAUUAAAGCAUUAGAAGAGGAUGGAUUGGGACUAGGAUUAGGAUAUGGAUUCUAUACAAUUUUUUUGUGUGCAAUUUAAAAGCAUUAGAAGAGGACGGACUAGGAUUUGGAUUAGGAUACGGAUUCUAUAACUUUUUUUGAUUAAUUUAAAGCAUUAGAAGAGGAUGGACUAGGAUUGGGACUAGGAUUAGGAUACGGAUAAUCUCCACCAUUGUUCUUGGAAUCGAUCAGUGAGUUUGAAGCCUGCAGGUGCCUUCGGUUUAUUUUAGCAGGGCCUAACCAAUACCAACAAUGACUGAUGGAAGGAUCUACGUGGGAAAUCUUCCAAUGGACGCCCAGGAGAAGGACAUAGAGGAUCUCUUCUUCAAAUAUGGAAAAAUCCGGGAUAUCGAACUAAAGAAUAACAGGGGAACCAUCCCUUUUGCUUUUGUUCGCUUCGAUGAUCCACGGGAUGCGGAAGACGCGGUCUAUGGAAGGAAUGGAUAUGGAUUCGGAGACUCCAAGCUGCGUGUAGAAUACCCUCGCUCCUCUGGCGCCAAAUUUAGUGGCCCUAUGGGAGAAGGAGGUCCUAGGGGGAGGUUUGGGCCCCCAACUCGGAGAUCUGAGUUCCGGGUGAUAGUGACUGGUAGGUGGACGUUCUGAGUCGUAGGAAGUGUUAUUUUUGUCUCUCUCUCUCUUGGCGGACUGGAAGUCAAGGGGACUAAGUGGAGGUCAAGUCAGCUGCCCAAAACAAACACGAGCGAAACAAUAAAAUCUCAAACUGAUCAUGUUGACUGCAUAAACCCAAACACCUGGCCAUAGUGACUGGCUUGCCCCAAACCGGGAGCUGGCAGGAUCUGAAAGACCACAUGCGUGAGGCAGGGGAUGUUUGUUUCGCCGACGUGCAGCGAGAUGGUGAAGGAGUGGUGGAGUUUGUUCGUCGGGAAGACAUGGAAUACGCCCUGCGCAGACUGGACGGGACUGAGUUCCGUUCCCAUCAGGGGGAGACGGCAAACAUUCGUGUCCACGGAGAACGUGGUGCCAGUUACGGUCGCUCGCGGUCUCGCUCCAGAUCCCCCCGAGGGCGUGGCUACUCACCACCUCCUUACCAAAGCAGAGGGUCCCCUCCACAGCGCUACCAGUCACCCCCACGCCGCCUUGUGUCACGCCAUAGCCCCCCAGCAAGGCGACACCCAGUACCGUACCAUAGCCCGCCCCCACGCCACUAUCGAUAGACCAGCUAGCCAUUCACAAGAGGGCACUGAUUAGGCGCAGUUUAAUUAUUAUUUUUAUCCCAGAUCUCAAAUAAUUGUCCCCCUUUUGCUUGCUAUGUACAUUCCUUUGUCACCCCUGCCCUCCUGUUGGCCUUAAUAUUGUUGAUUUCCUUAAGCUUCAGCUCCCCAUGUCAGGUCACUAGUCAGCUCAGUUCUGAUGUCUGGUGAGACCAUUUGUUAACAUGCCAAUUAACUGGUCUUGCUGCUCAAGUACAAGUAUGAACAUUAUCAGUUUGAUGAACACUGCCCUGAGAAGUGCGACACCCAACAAAAACUAAAUGUGAACAUCUGCCUGCAUCGUCUAUUCCUUUUAAAUGAAUUGUAAGUGUGUGUGAACCUCUAAGAAUGAAUGAAUAUGUUUGGAAAUUGAUUUUGAUUGUAAUCUGGUAAACCUCUGUGAAAAUCCCAUGUUUUAUUUUAAAGAAAUAUUGAACUUUAGCCAGUUCAUUCCUCUGUUUUUGUAACCUGUGGUGUCUAUAUGCAAGCAUUUUGUUUUCAAUUAAAACACUGAAACAAACCCAA